rnacentral:rRNA from 1 species
UACAGAGGGUGCAAGCGUUGUUCGGAAUUAUUGGGCGUAAAGGGAGUGUAGGCGGUUCGUUAAGUCUUCUGUGAAAUCUACGGGCUUAGCCUGUAAAGUGCAGAGGAAACUAGCGGACUUGAGUGUCGGAGAGGAUAGGGGAAUACCCAGUGUAGAGGUGAAAUUCGUAGAGAUUGGGUGGAACACCAGUGGCGAAGGCGCCUAUCUGGCUGACAACUGACGCUGAGACUCGAAAGCAUGGGGAGCAAACAGG